rnacentral:rRNA from 1 species
CGAGCGAGUGGAGUUCUUCGGAACAAAGCUAGCGGCGGACGGGUGAGUAGCACUUGGGCAACCUGCCUCAUGAAGGGGAAUGUCCUCCCGGAAGGGAGAUUAAUACACCAUAACAUUGCGAUUUCGCAUGAAGUAGCAAUUAAAGGAGCAAUCCGCUAUGAGAUGGGCCCGCUGCGCACUGACUAGUUGGUGAGGUUACGGCUCCACAUGGCGACGAUGCGUCUCCGACCUGAUACGGUGAUCGGCCACAUUGGGACUGAGACACGGCGCACACUCCUACGGGAGGCAGCAGUGGGGAAUAUUGCACAAUGGGGGAAACCCUGAUGCAACAGCGCCGCGUGAGUGAUGACGGCCUUCGGGUUGGGUUCUCUGUCUUCAGGGACUAUAAUGACGGUACCUGAGGAGGAAGUGACGGCUAACUACGUGCCAGCGUCCGCGUGUAUCCGAAGGAACUUCGCGUUGUCCGGAUUUUCUGGGCGUUAAGGGAGCGUAGGCGGACUUUUAAGUGAGAUGUGAAAUACCCGGGCUCAACUUGGGUGCUGCAUUUCACACUGGAAGUCUAUAGUGUUUGAGAGGAGAACGGAAUUCCUAGUGUAGCGA